GGCGGCGAGCGGCGGACGGGUGAGUAAUGCCUGGGAAUAUGCCUUGAUGUGGGGGAUAACUAUUGGAAACGAUAGCUAAUACCGCAUAAUCUCUUCGGAGCAAAGAGGGGGACCUUCGGGCCUCUCGCGUCAAGAUUAGCCCAGGUGGGAUUAGCUAGUUGGUGAGGUAAUGGCUCACCAAGGCAACGAUCCCUAGCUGGUCUGAGAGGAUGAUCAGCCACACUGGAACUGAGACACGGUCCAGACUCCUACGGGAGGCAGCAGUGGGGAAUAUUGCACAAUGGGCGCAAGCCUGAUGCAGCCAUGCCGCGUGUGUGAAGAAGGCCUUCGGGUUGUAAAGCACUUUCAGCAGUGACGAAGGGCGGGUUCGUUAAUAGCGUAUUCGUUUGACGUUAGCUGCAGAAGAAGCACCGGCUAACUCCGUGCCAGCAGCCGCGGUAAUACGGAGGGUGCGAGCGUUAAUCGGAAUUACUGGGCGUAAAGCGCAUGCAGGUGGAUGAUUAAGUCAGAUGUGAAAGCCCGGGGCUCAACCUCGGAACAGCAUUUGAAACUGGUCAUCUAGAGUACUGUAGAGGGGGGUAGAAUUUCAGGUGUAGCGGUGAAAUGCGUAGAGAUCUGAAGGAAUACCGGUGGCGAAGGCGGCCCCCUGGACAGAUACUGACACUCAGAUGCUAAAGCGUGGGGGAGCACACAGGAUUAGAUACCCUGGUAGUCCACGCCGUAAACGAUGUCUACUUGGAGGUUGUGGCCCUUGACCCGUGGCUUUCUGAGCUAACGCGUUAAAUAGACCGCCCGGGGGAGUACCGCUCCCAGGAUUAAAACUCAAAUGAAUUUGACCGCGGCCCGCACCAGCCGUUGCAGCAUG
rnacentral:rRNA from 1 species